UACGGGGGGGGUAAGCGUUGUUCGGAAUUACUGGGCGUAAAGGGCUCGUAGGCGGCCAACUAAGUCAUACGUGAAAUCCCUCAGCUUAACUGGGGAACUGCGUGUGAUACUGGAUGGCUUGGAUUUGGGAGAGGGAUGCGGAAUUCCAGGUGUAGCGGUGAAAUGCGUAGAGAUCGGGAGGAAGGCCGGUGGCGAAGGCGGCGCUCUGGAACAUUUCUGACGCUGAGGCUCGAAAGCGUGGGGAGCAAACAGG
rnacentral:rRNA from 1 species